rnacentral:lncRNA from 1 species
UUUGCCUCUUUUGCCGUAGUCAGACAACCUCCUAGCAAGUGCAUCAUAGUGAGGUCCACCUUUCUCGAUGUCGAAAUCUAUUCCGUCCAAAACGGCGCUGCCUAGAGGCCUUGAGUUUGAUUGGCCCCCUAAGAAGUUGUUCCAUAGGUAGUCUGCUACACUGUUAGCAUCAGCAUCAGAUGACAGUCCAUAGUUCCCUGCGCCGCCACCGAUCGAAAGCAAGACCUUGAUGCCUUUGCUUUGGCAGUUUUUGAUGCCAGCCCCCACUCCUUGGCAGCCGUUUGAUGCUGGGUUACAGUGGCCAGCUAAGUUGAUUUCAGGUUUUUGGCCAUUGCCAAAUUUUGAGAGAAAUCCUAUGUUUACAAUUCGAUAUUUUCCAGUGUUACAUGUGUCUGUGAGUGAGCCUUCACCACCAUUUUGACCCCAAUAAACCACAACGACUCCGGCAUAGGAUUGGGAAAACAAGGCUGGGAGAAGUAGUAGGAAGAUAGUGAGAGCUUGAGAACAAAACUUGGUGAACAAGGCUGCCAUAGUUGUUGUGUUAUGAGUUUGAUGCCAAAGGCUCGUGCGGGAUUAAUCUAUUUAUAGACUUUGCAGGAUCUGAUUUCUUAGUCAAUUUUGUGCAAACAGGUUUAUUGUGUUCUUGCCAAACAUAUCUAAUAAUUACUAAGGAGAAAAGUAUACAAGUUAGAUAACACUAUUCAGACAUAGAAGGAUUUUUUUGGAGUUUGAUCCGCAUUAUGCCAAACUAAAAAAUUAUAUUAUCCUAGCUAGUGGUAACAAAAGCAAGGUUGAAUUACUAAACAUAUUGAGAUGGAUUUUUCAACUUUCUCAAACAUAUUUGGCAAUUGCCAUUGCAAGAUUUAAUUUUCCAUCUAAACAAGACAAUGUGAACAGAUCAUGUGCUUGACUUGAAGUCAAGCAAGCAUACAGUAACUGCUAGGAACCACCUAGCUAGCUGGUGGUAGGUGGUUCUUUCGUCCUUUACCAAACUUUUCCACAGAUUGACGUAAAUGGACACACUUUUGGCUUUACUGGUCAAGAGUGCUAGCUAAGACGUACCUGCUCGGCUACUAGGGGAUAGCAUAUCUAUCAGCAGGAACUGGAUAAGAUGUGCUUUUGUUUGGGUCUGAGGAUAAGAUAUGCUUAGACUUGAAGUCAAGAGCGCACCACAUAGGGACCGACCCGAGAUUUUAAAUUGAGAUAUGCUAAAUUUACAUUACGCCCAAAUUUAUUAAGAAUUAAUAACAUUGAUUACAAAAAUAUAUCAUAAUCAAAAGGACAUAAUGAGCUUUACCCCUCAAUCUAAUACCUAUAUUUUUUUUAUUUUUUUACGUGCAGGAGUGCGAGAAGUGAACGAUGAGUUUUCUACCAAAAAAGAAAAUGGGGGUUGUUUUUGACCGAAAAAGGUGGGUUGUUUGUAUUUUGCCUUUGCCCCUUUUUGUACUAAAAAAAAUAAUAAUAAUAAAAAGAUGAAGCGUUUAGGGUUGAGGUAACUUACCUUGACUUAUUAGUUAAUAUUUAUAGUGUAAAAUUACAUAAAAAAAGAAAAAAUCCAAAACAAAACGGAGUGACCAUAUCCUUUUUGUUCUUUGUAGUGUGCUCUGCUGUGCUCAGUGGAAAGUCACAGACUCAUAGGUAUCCACGACCAAUAAAAAAGUGGCAUGCAUGAAUGUCCACUGAGUGAGCUUGUUAUAUUAAUUUAGGCUGAAAAUAGAGAGACUACCUGGGCCAUAACCCAAGUUAGCCAAAGGGUAGGUCUGUCCCUGGAACCACAGGCUUUGCCAUCACCUAACAUAUAUAUGUGUAUUAGGAUAUAAUAAUUCAGAGUAGUUUAUUGUUCUCUCUAAGAGCGUAUUUAUAUAUUAAUGAAAAGGUGUGAAAGCUACAACAUGUGAGCUUUUGUCCUCGAUCGUUCACUUAACUUUGCCAGAGACUCAAGUCAUCGUGCUAAGCCGUAUCUACUAGGCUACUAGGAAACAUAACAGACAAUAUUAAUGAAAAGGAUCGAAGACGGUUUUCUAUAAAAACUUCAUAUAUGGAUGGAAAGAAAUAAUAAACCAUUUAACAACAUAUCAAUGUCUCUCAUCAGCCUCACAAAUUAAACAACUCUCAUGGAGAGGAUUAAGAAGCCUGCCGUGAUCCAAGUUCCUAAAUCCAAUAACUUAAGCUAUGUAUAUAUGCACCAAAUGUCUCUCUAAGACAAUUUGAUUUCAAUAAUAUAUAUUUUCCUAAUAACAACAGGCUUUUGAGUUAUGAUGAAGUCCAAAUCUUUCUUUGCAUUAUAUAUUCUUGCUUUUGUGAUCAGAAACAAUUAACAAAAGAAUAUUGUUACAGUAGAGCUAGCAGUGAAUUGCUUAGAUUAAAAUGUGUAUACGAACUAAUUCCAAUGAUAAAAAAAAUAACUAACAAAUUUCUAUAAAUAAAUAAAUAAAUACUAAUUCCAAUGAUCUCAUCAUUACACAUGUGUGUCUUUCUUGAAAUGUUUAUUUUUUUUUGGCAAUAAAAAAGGGUUUUAACUUGUAGACUAGUGGUUUCAAGUUCGAACCUCUAUAACAAUGUGUGUGUGAAAAACAUCCCCCUCUCCUUUUAGUUUAGAUCAUCUCUUGUUUAUAAUUAUUAGUUUUUUUUUUUUAAUACAAAUGAUAUUAUACUUUAAUUUAAUCUAAACUACUUGGAGAGGGAUUCGAACUCAAAGAGGGUGGGGUGGGAAGCACAUACACUAUAGCCAACUUGACUAAGUUCAUGUCUGCAAACUAUAGCUUAUAUUAAUAUAUAUAUAUAUAUAUUAUUUUUUCGUGUUAAUUCUUUCUUUGUCGUUAAAGAGCUCAUAGAUCCCUAGAGGGCCCUACAUGGAAAAUGGAAAACUUUGGGCUUUGUGGUUAUUUCGGUCUUAACUGGCAGGCUUAGUGAAUCUGGUUUUUUGGGUUGUACUUUCUUGUUAGCCCAUUUCAAGGUGCGUGUGCGAGCAUGUGAUUGCUAUAAAACCCCCCCCAUACCCACAACGCCUAACUAAAACCAAACUAGAUAACAAAAAUUGAAUGAUUAUUAAUGCUUCUCAAGAACAAUUUCCUUAUUUAUAGAACAGAAAUCAAAACAUAAUUUAUAUGUUAUGAAUUAAAUUUGUGUUUGGCAGGGUGAUUGCUAUAAAUUUGUAUGUACAAAGGGUGUAAGCAUGUGAGUAUGGGGAGUUUUAGACUUCGGUGACAAUUCUAAAGAAGCCUCUCAGUGGGUGUGAAGAUGAUUUGGACACCGAUUUGAAGUUUCAUUGUAAUGAUCUUAACACCAAGAAUUCUUAUGGAGCAAUACAGAUUUGCUUCUUAAUCUGUACUCCUAUAUAUAGUUCAUGUUGAGAGUAUAACUCAUAUCGAUAAUGCAAAGCGUUGCACUCGAUUGUGAGCCUUUUCAUAUAAUGUUAAUUAAUUUUGAGUUGGAGGCCAACACUUCUAUCACGUUAACUAGCGUGAAGGGUUAGUUCAAUAGCUUUAACUUUAUCGAACAUGACAGCAUCAACUGCUUUUUAUUUACUUAUUAUAAGCCAUUUUGAUCACAAUCCAGGCUUAAAUUACACUUUGCCUGUUAUCUUAGAACUAUAGCCACUCUUGUCAUCAUUGAACUUAAUUGUCAUAGAGCAUGACAGCACCAUAUUCUGGGUGACUUCUUAACAGAAGGUAAUACUUUGUUUAUCAGAUUAUUCGAGCGUACAAAGCCACUAUGGACGACACACAUGAUGAAGCCGACACACACCACCAUUCAUAAUAGAUUUGCAACUGAGUGUGAGACUGAACAACGAGAACGAGUGCAAAGGAUAAGUUAUAUUUUGGUAGCAUUGUUAGUAUAUUUGCAAACAAUACUCAUAUUAUACGCGUUCAAGAAUACUUUUGUCUCAUGUAUACAUCUCAAGAAUAAAGUAAAAAUACAUGUUUCUUGAAAUCAAAUAUACUCACGUUUAAAACAUAUAUUUUAAUAAUACAUGUAAAAUUAACGUAUAUUUCAUAUAUUAUAGAAUAAAAAUAAUAAAAAUUAAAGCAAUUAAAUAAUAAUAAUAAUAUAAUGGCUGAAAUUUUGGCUGUAUUUUUUUUUUUUAUAAAAUAAAAUUUGCCAAAUAAUAUAAGCACACAUUUUAUUCUUAUAUUAUCGAAUAAAAAUUAAAGCAUUUAAAUAAAAAUAUAAUAUAAUGGCCGAAUUUUUUGCAGUUGAGCGAUAUUUUUUUUUAAUUUACCGAUAAUAUAAGUAUGGGAAUUCACAUGGUUGGAAUUUUUUUUGCGGUUGAGCGAUAAUAUAAGUAUGGGAAUUCCAAUAAUCAUUUUGAGCCAACAAGACUUGUGCUUCCACAGUCCACUCCUAUUAAAACUCAAAAAUAAGAAUAAAAUAAAAUCAUACACUGUAACAUUGUACCAGUAAUACUUUAGGUUCAAUUUCAGGUUAGUAACCUGAACUCUUACCUUUAAAGUACAUUUGUCCCUACUCUCUCAAUUUUAAUACAUACCCUAAGAAUAUCUCCAAGGGAGAUAUCAAAUGCAAAAUGUUAAAUUUGAAUUUAAUGGCUUAUGUGGUAAUUUGACACUUUGGAAAAUUUUUAAUUCCACUCGAAAUGCCAAAUAUCAUAUUAUUUUAUUAUAUUUUAAAAAGUAAAUGGGGCUUAUAUGAUGCAUAAAGUUUUAAAUGAUAAUGGAGUCUAUGACUAAAUAAUAUUAAAAUAAUAUUUGACAUCAAUCAUAUGUUAUUUUUGAUAUAUCUCUUCUAGCCUUCAAAUCCAUGUAGGAUUUGACUAUUCGAUUGGAGCAACUUUAACCUUCAAUUUUUGCCAUUUCAUGUCCAUGUGACAAUUUGACACAUCGGUUGGAGAUGCUCUAAGCUUUUCAAUUUUGUGCAAUUUGGUUACGGCGUUAACUUCAUCGUCAAAAUUUCUGUUAAUUGCUUAUGUGACAAGCCUGAGUCCCACUUAUUCACUUCUGUUAAUGUCAGUUGAAGGUUAUUUUGUUAAAAAUGAUUUGGUAUUAAUGCAUGUAAUGUGUUUUUCAUAGGCUGGAAGACCCCAAUUACUUGAAAAUACACUUCAACUGACAUCGAAAUAAACGAAUAGGUGAGACCCAUGCCUGCCAUGCAAGCAAUUAAUGUAACACCCCGACCCCAAAUUUAACCCUUAUUUAAUUAUUUAAUUAUUUAAGGGUAUUUUAGUUGUAUUUUUAACCGGAGAAAGUUUGGGACCGCGACUUGUAUUUUUGGAUAGGUCGUACUGGGACGAGUUCAUAGACACGUAGUGGGCUCGAAUCGGAGUUGUAACGAGAGAGAUAUGGUCAAAAGAAGCCUAGUGGCACAAUCGUAAAUAUUUCAAAAUGGAAUUUUUUAUAAAAAUCUGGUUCUCUCUCUCUCUCUCUCUCUCUCUCUCUCUCCCGCGACCUCUCCCUCUUUCCCGUCAACUCUCCCUCUCUCUCUCUCUCCUCGCAACUCCGGCCACCGGCCACGGCUGUGGACGAGGCCGGUACCAAAAUGACCGGGGCGUCGUCCUCUUCCAGCCCCAGCUGUCUCCCGCCUCCAGCCGCCGCGGUUUCGCCGGAAAAUGGAGGAGAAGCGGCCGGCGUCGUCCGAUCUUCGCCGCCGUCGAUCUCCCUCCUCCGGCCACCAAAUCCGACGAGCAAGGUAUGGUUUCUCACCUAUUUUUCAUGCUCUAGCUGCCUGUUGGGUAGGAUUAGAUCGAUUUUUAGCGUAGCCAACUCGAUUUUCGAAUUGAAAAUCGGCCAAAACUUCGGCCACCGUGAUGGGCCAUUUCCGGCCACUUUUUGGGGUAGGUCCAAGAACAAAAGUGGCUCUAAAUAGGGUGUUAUACCUAGGGUAGGAGUUUGGAGCCGUGGUUUUGAGAUUUUCCGGCGAACCGUUAUCGCUUUGGGCACCCACGCGCUGCCGGGGCGUGCGGCGGCGCGUGGGCACUGUAGAAAAAGUAGCGAUGUGUUCCGAUGAGAUCCUUAGUUGUCACGAGUACGUAUGAUUUCACGGAUCUCAAUUCGGACGUCGUUUGACUAUUGAACGGAUAUUCGCAUAUUGUGUGUUAUCCGGGUUCGAUAGGUUGGGACCGUCGGAUGGUCCCAAAUUUAAUAUAUGUUAAUCUAGGUAAUUCUAGGGUCGUGUAGGAAUUCACGGAUCGUGAAUCGGAGCCCCGGAUGUUCCGAAUAAUAAUUUAAAGUUUAUAUUUUAUAUUAACCGUCAGAUCAUUCGAUCGUGAGAAAUCCGACCGUCCGAUCUGAACCAAACUCACAGGACAAGUGUCCUAUACCUGGUAGAACCCAUAGAGACUUUCCGAUCGGAGAUUGGAGGUCGUGGGUUCUGCAGGUCCGUUUGACCAGGGUUAGAGUAGUUUGACCCUUGGUUGACCGUGAGUCUCCCGGAGUAGUCUCACCCUUCCAGGGGGGAUUAUCGGGAGCUAGACUAUUGUGGAGGGUUACACAAUAUUAAAAUUACUUAUAUAAUUAUAUAUGGUUGUACAAUGGUACAACAGAGUCUAGAAUGACAGUUUGGAGUGCUAUACGCACUACUGUAGGUACCUCCCCGGAUUUUGGAUUCACUACAAGCACCACCAAGUGAAAGUUAGGUCCCGCGUGGCGUAGGUUAUCCGGCGUUGGGACAGGCCCCAUACGUGGCGUUGGUUGUACCGGCGUAUGGGGAGAUUUGUAAUAUGAUGUUCAGGUCUCACGUGGCGUAGGUUAUCCGGCGUUGAGACAGGCCCUGUAUGUGGCGUUGGUUGUACUGGCGUACGGGGAGAUUACGUGAUAUUGUGUUGAGGUCGCACGUGGCGUAGGUUAUCCGGCGUGUCGACAGACCCCAUACGUGGCGUUGGUUGUACCGGCGUAUGGGGAGAUUUGCGAUAUGAUGUUGAGGUCCCGCGUGGCGUAGGUUAUCCGGCGUUGGGACAGGUCCCAUACGUGGCGUUGGUUGUACCGGCGUAUGGGGAGUUAUGUGAUAUGUUGUGCAGGUCUCGCGUGGCAUAGGUUAUCCGGCGUUGAGACAGGCCCCAUACGUGGCGUUGGUUGUACCGGCGUAUGGGGAGAUAUGAUGAUAAUAUGGCAUGGUCGCACGUGUCGUAGGUUAUCCGGCGUGUUGACAUGCCCCAUACGUGGCGUUGGUUGUACCGGCGUAUGGGGAGAAUAUGUGAAAUACAGAGAAAUGAAAUAAGGUAUCGCCGAUGUAUGGAAUUGGGUUUUAAUGGAAGAACUACGUGUGGCUUGAUCCCUCAAGGAGGGUACGUAGGCAGCCUAAGGUUAUUAGGCGCAGCCGCAGACUAAAUAUUAGUCAUAAUAGGUACUUAAAUUGUUUGGUAAUCAGUUAAGAAUUAUUGGAAGGCCGAAGGCCAUUUGUGUGAAUUGCAUGAAAUUAUAUUGUGCAUGCUGCCAGUUGGGAAUACUAAAUGCGUUUUCAUGCAGGUAUAAAUUUUGGGAAAUGUCCAAUUUAUAGGAGAGACUCUGCCGAAUUUUCAGCAGGAAGUCUCGGUUUUUAGUAUUUGGGCCUGGCAUCGGGAGGAUUCGGGAAUUCCAAAGGGUUCGCCUCGGGUUCUGAAAAAUUCAGGGCGAGUCCUUAAAAUUAACCAAAAUUUUGAUGUCGAAGUUAACACCAUAACCAGAUUGCAAAAAAUUAAAAAAUUUAAAAUAUGUAAUCGUUAAAAUUAAGAGUGCAGAGGAAAGCGUGACUUAAGGAUAAGAAUUCAGGUACUAAAUCUAAGAUUUUCACACCAUCAACUUCUAUUAUAAAAAAAACGAUGAAAGAGCAUGACUGCUUUAUUUUACGUAUUUUAAGCCUUCUGAUAGUCAGGGCUGAAGUUACACACUGCCUCGAAUUUGAGAACUAUAGCCACUCCUGUCAUCGUUGAACUUAUCAUAGAGCAUGACACCUCCAUACUUGGGAGAUCCCUUAACAAAAGGAAACACUUGGUUUUUCAGAUCAUUUGGAUUCACAAAGCCACUGCCAGCAGCUUGACGGGAAGCCGGAAGCCCAACGAAGAACUGGCCGGCUUUUAUGGAGGUCCAUUUGUUCCAUGAGUCCCUGAAGGCAUUGGGGUUGCUGGUGGUAAAUUGACACUGAGGGUUGUUGUAGAAUUGGACCCAAACAUAGUCGAAUAGGCCAGUGGACAGAGCACCAUUGAGAUACUGGUCAGGAAAUGGGCAUUGUGGUGCUGCACUUAAGUACACUUUUUUGCCUCUUUUGCUGUAGUCAGACAACCUCCUAGCAAGUGCAGCAUAGUGAGGUCCACCUUUCUCGAUGUUGAAAUCUAUGCCGUCCAAAACGGCGCUGCCUAGAGGCCUUGAGUUUGAUUGGCCCCCUAAGAAGUUGUUCCAUAGGUAGACUGCUACACUGUUAGCAUCAGCAUCAGAUGACAGUCCAUAGUUCCCUGCGCCACCGCCGAUCGAAAGCAGGACCUUAAUGCCUUUUCUUUGGCAGUUUUUGAUGCCAGCCCUCACUCCUUGGCAGCCAUUUGAUGCUGGGUUAC